GCUGGGUGUGGUGGCAUGCACCUGUAGUCCCAGCUACUCGGGAGGCUGAGAUGGGAGGGUCACUUGAGCCCAGGAGGUCAAGGCUGCAGUGAACUAUGACUGCACCACUGCACCCCAGCCUGGGUGACACAGUGAGACCCUGUCUCAC
rnacentral:SRP_RNA from 1 species